GACAGAGGUGCCAAGCGUUAGGCGGAAUCACUGGGCUUAAAGCGUGUGUAGGCGGACCGUUAAGUACCUUGUGAAAUCCCACGGCUCAACCGUGGAACUGCUGGGUAUACUGGCGAUCUUGAGCCACCUAGGGGCGAGCGGAACAAGCGGUGGAGCGGUGAAAUGCGUAGAUAUCGCUUGGAACGCCAAUGGUGAAAACAGCUCGCUGGGGGUGUGCUGACGCUGAGACACGAAAGCCAGGGGAGCGAACGGG
rnacentral:rRNA from 1 species